GAGGGUAUAGCUCAGGGGUAGAGCACAUGCUUAGCAUGCACCAGGUCCUGGGUUCAAUCCUCAGUACCUCCA
rnacentral:tRNA from 1 species